rfam:Ovis aries breed Texel chromosome 5, whole genome shotgun sequence.
UGGCUCAGAUGGUAAAGCGUCUGCCUACAAUGCGGGAGACCCAGGUUCGAUCCCUGG